rnacentral:rRNA from 1 species
ACGAACGCUGGCGGCGCGCCUAACACAUGCAAGUCGAACGGAGCUGAGAGAAGCUUGCUUUUCUUAGCUUAGUGGCGAACGGGUGAGUAACGCGUGAGUAACCUGCCCUGGAGUGGGGGACAACAGUUGGAAACGACUGCUAAUACCGCAUAAGCCCACGAUCCGGCAUCGGAUUGAGGGAAAAGGAUUUAUUCGCUUCAGGAUGGACUCGCGUCCAAUUAGCUAGUUGGUGAGGUAACGGCCCACCAAGGCGACGAUUGGUAGCCGGACUGAGAGGUUGAACGGCCACAUUGGGACUGAGACACGGCCCAGACUCCUACGGGAGGCAGCAGUGGGGGAUAUUGCACAAGGGGGGAAACCCUGAUGCAGCGACGCCGCGUGGAGGAAGAAGGUUUUCGGAUUGUAAACUCCUGUCGUUAGGGACGAUAAUGACGGUACCUAACAAGAAAGCACCGGCUAACUACGUG